rnacentral:rRNA from 1 species
CCUUUUUUCUCCCUCUUUUUUCUUCUUUCCUGGUCGUAAAGGGCGCGUAGGCGGCCACCGCAAGUCGACUGUGAAAUCUCCGGGCUUAACCCGGAAAGGUCAGCCGAUACUGCGGGGCUAGAGUGCAGAAGGGGCAACUGGAAUUCUCGGUGUAGCGGUGAAAUGCGUAGAUAUCGAGAGGAACACCUGCGGCGAAGGCGGGUUGCUGGGCUGACACUGACGCUGAGGCGCGAAAGCUAGGGGAGCGAACGGGA